CAGCCCGACAGAAACGUUUGAAAAGCCCCCCGCUGUCUCUUCUUUAGUUCCUCUUCAUUUUUUUUUACGUUUUGCCGCACCCGAAAGCAUUGUGAAAGUUAGCCCACUCAGAAACACCUGCUAGCGUUGUUGUGUCCCGCUCUGACUCUGACCGCUUGUCUGACGUCCUUCAUUGGGUGGCGCCUUAAUGUGACGUAGCCAAUGAAACGGUCUAUGGUUAAGAUAAACAUUGUCACUAUUUUUAAUUAAUUAAUUAAUAUUGAAAUAAAUUGUAGAUAGGAGUCUUAUCUACAAAUUCUAUCAUAGGACAUUUGUACAUUUAAUUUUUAAUUUAUUUAUUUUUAAUUUUGUCCCUCUGUCUGGGCCCCAUCCAGCCAAUCAGGCCCUAGGCACGUGCCUACUUUGCCUUUGCGUUAAUCCGGCUCUGCGGGUAUGUCUAUAAAAGUUAAACGUUUGAACUGAGACUUGUCACGGUCUGGGGGAGUCAUCUUUCUCUGAUUUACUUUUUGAGCUUCCUUUCCUCUGCAGGUGGGCGUGUCCGGUUGUGGGGAAGUUGCUAGCAGCUGCAAGCAAUCCACUCAUCACCUGCCAGGGGAUAUUUAAGCACCUGAGAGGCGGCUUCACUUUGCUGGAUGAUUAACUCUACUUGGACAUCCUGUUACAAUAACUACCUGGUCAACCUGCCAUUCGCCUCUCAGCGUCCUCCCAUGGUCUCCCCCACGCCGGCUCCCCACCUUCCUCCUGGAUCUCCUGCUCAAUAAUUGCUCAGCUCCCUCCUCGCCUGGACUCUCAGCUUCCUCUAACUCAGUAAGCCAUCUGCUUCACCCCCAGACCAGACAACCAACCUCUCCCGAACAUUCUAACUGAACCUUCAGACCACUCCCCCCACCGGAUCCCAGCAGUCCAGCCUGACAUUUUGUUCCUGCCAUUUCUCCUUUAUAAUAAAUCAUUAUUUAACUCUAAUUCUGACUUGUGGAUUGAUUCUGUAUGUCGUGGGUUAGGCAUA